CUCUCCCAAUGAUGCCCAUCAUUGUCAGUCUAGCCAAUGACGAUAGAGCAGUACGCCCCUGUCACUUGCUUUCCCCCACGUGGGGUCAAAACGUAUCCGAUUCAUUCUUCUCCUCUUUGCCCUCAUGGUAUUAGCGAAUCAGAACGCGAGACACUUGGAACUCCGCCUUGGGCGGUGUGGUAAUGGGGAACUGGGGUUGGAGUUUCUCAUAACGAGCGUUCGAACAGGGGAAACAUUUGUCCGGCUGUCAAUCAAAGUAACGUGGGGCUGAUGCUCGCUGCUAGUUUGUGGAUGAGACGCUGCUGCUCUGUGUGGCAAUCUGUGGUGAAAACAAGCAUGGAGGCAUGAGGAGGGAGAGCUUGUACUCUCUUACAUUACCGCACGGCCUCCUCCCUCCCUUUACUCCCUUGUCCUAUGUUAGCUAUCACCCACAUCAAGGAAUGCUGGCUAAUUAGGGGCCAAUGUCUCCUUAAAGAGACAAGAGCAGCCUUGUGCAGCUUUGCUAAGUGAAGGGAGGGAUGUGGAUGCACACAGCACUUCCCUUGGCUCAUACCAAUUUUACGCACCAGUGGAGCUGGCAUAAUUUUCUUGUGAAAAAGAGGGGGUGGAGGGAAAAGCUGUUCUAUGCUAUUUCCAGACGCUAUGUGCCUUUCGGAUGGCUGAGCCUUCCAUCCACAUGCAAAACGCAAUUCUGCGCCUCAUUGCGCUCCCCCGUAUGGCUAUGGUACAUUGGGCAGCGCUUUUUUGGGGGUGUUUAUACGAUUCGUAGCCCAUCACUCGGCUCCUUAUCACAUGGGAUGUAAUAAAGGAUGCUAACAAAUUAAUUCAUAUUUAAAUGACCCAAAAAAAAUGGAAAGCAAUGCAAGUUGUUGUUUUAUCAUGUUUUCUUUGUUUGCUUGAUGUAUCUGUGCUGCUUAUAAAGUGCUAAUAUACUUAUCAUUUUAAUGCACUGGUGCUCAGGCACCCUGUAUCUGCGAUUACAUAUAAAUGCCUAUGAACCUUUUAUGGUUGUAGGGUACAGCAGGUGUAAGUUAGGGCUCCUCUUUCCUUUCAUUAACCACAUAGGUUAAUUAGCUGUUAAUAUAAUAUACCUUUGUGUGUGUGAAUAUGAUACGGAUCUUAGACUGUAAGCUUUUCUGGGACAGGACCUCUAUAAAGCACUUUGGUAUAUGUUCGAUUAACAUAAAUAAAAGUUCAUGAUAAAUGCAGCUCGCUUGACUGCUCUGAUUGCAUUUGAAUGAAAUACAUCCCUCCUAACUGGAUUCUCUAGAAGUGUCCCCAGUAACUUUAGUGGCAGUGCCAUAGAAAGAAGCAUUUGUUGGGUGGUAGAGGGCAUACAAGUCUAGAGGGCUAGGCCAUGGCUGGCUUAGUAUGUUGCAGGGCACUACACACACUACACUGAGAAAAACAUGAGUUUCAACAGCUCUGUUUUAGUACAUAGUGCAAAUUGUUAGUUGUGUAUGUGCUCUCUGUCACUAAUUGCUCCUUUCUCUUUGUGCUGCAUAAAUAGUAUGGGGAUAGUGUGUCUGUGGGGGGUUGCAUAUAUGUGUGUAACCCCUUGAGCCCCCUAAGGUUAGGGGGCAGGUGUGAGUUGCUAUCUCAUAUUGACAAAUAGAUCUAUCAGUUCUAAUGUUGUGACCUUUUUUCACUAGGAGAAAAUGACUGCCUGUGCUAUCCAUCACAGAGCAAUGAUUUGUUACUCUGGAAACAUGGAUGUCAUUCCAUGAUAGAGCAAUGAAGUGGUUCCUGUUCAUACGCCAAAGCAGUGUAAAGUAAUACAAAUCCCAUUCAUUUGGAGGAGUAGCCCGUUGAUUAACAGACCCAUGGAGAAGCAUGCAAAGAAUUUUUGCAAAUGAAGCCUUGGUUGGAGGAGAGCUGACUUUUAACUACAUCAGAACCAGCACUACAGAAAGAGACAGAUACAAGCUGCUUUCAACAGACUGACUUGUUGGAAAGGGUUGCAGCACAUAGAGCAUAAACUACAUAGCCUGAUUUCAGCUGGCUGAAAAGCUUCGGGAACUGACUGCGCCUCUGAUUAAUCUGAAAUGUGGCAUGCAUGAUACCACUUUUUAGGCUCAAAAUGCUAUGGUUCUAAAACCCAAGACUCUUAUUUACAUAAAAUACUUAAUGGAUCAAAAAAGUUCUGUUUUUUUAAUUGUUAACACUUUCUUGCAUACAUAUCCAUCAUUUUCAAAAAUCAACUUUUCUUACCGAGUAGUUCCCUCAGCACUAAACAGGAAAUACAGUAAGCAAUGCCACAAAACUGCUGACAUGAUGCUUAGGUCUGACAAGUAUGCAAGGUUCCACUUGCUAACAGUUUGGUAAUAUAUGGUAAGGUUUCUUUACUGAGGGCCAAAUCAAAGUUACAAAAAUGUAAUUGAGACAGGAUAUAAUUCAUCACUGUCAGUUUUUCUUGCCCAGAAAGGCAAAAAUGGUUGUCAAGCUUGUAUGUACAACUGUAUAUUCCAUGAAACUAAAAUUUGUGAUUUUGUUGCCUUCCCCAGAAUGGGGGAUAACACUGCCAAUGCUCCAUUUGUGGGAGGUAUUAGAUGCAAAACUGCUGCAUUUUCCAUCCACUGUUUGCACCAGAUGGUUUAUUUAUACAGCUAGACACAUUUAUGCAAUGCUUUACAGACAUUGUUUAUAAUUCACAUUAGCCCCUGCCCCUGUGGACCAUACAACAUAAGGUCCCUAUGAGAGGCAUUCAACAUAGAAAAUCGUUGGUUACAUCAUGAGACAGUUAACCUGUGCAUAUGUUUUUGGAGCUGCCAGAUAUAGACACAGAGAGAACAUGCAAACUCAUAUAGUGUGCAGGUCACACAGACCACUAUUACCACAAGGUAGCAGGGUUAAACAUACAGGCAGGUUAAUUGGCUUCUGACUAAACUGACAAUAAUUUGUGUGAAUGUGACAUGUACCUUAGAUUGUAAGCUCCUCUGGGGCAGGGACUUAUGUAAAUGAUGAAAAACUUCUGUUAAAGGACAUGGAAAGGCAAUGUC